GAUGAACGCUGGCGGCGUGCCUAAUACAUGCAAGUCGAGCGAACAGACGAGGAGCUUGCUCCUCUGACGUUAGCGGCGGACGGGUGAGUAACACGUGGAUAACCUACCUAUAAGACUGGGAUAACUUCGGGAAACCGGAGCUAAUACCGGAUAAUAUAUUGAACCGCAUGGUUCAAUAGUGAAAGACGGUUUUGCUGUCACUUAUAGAUGGAUCCGCGCCGCAUUAGCUAGUUGGUAAGGUAACGGCUUACCAAGGCAACGAUGCGUAGCCGACCUGAGAGGGUGAUCGGCCACACUGGAACUGAGACACGGUCCAGACUCCUACGGGAGGCAGCAGUAGGGAAUCUUCCGCAAUGGGUGAAAGCCUGACGGAGCAACGCCGCGUGAGUGAUGAAGGCCUUCGGAUCGUAAAACUCUGUUAUUAGGGAAGAACAAAUGUGUAAGUAACUAUGCACGUCUUGACGGUACCUAAUCAGAAAGCCACGGCUAACUACGUG
rnacentral:rRNA from 1 species